rnacentral:rRNA from 2 species
UCUCCGUUGGUGAACCAGCGGAGGGAUCAUUACCGA